AUUGAACGCUGGCGGCAUGCUUUACACAUGCAAGUCGAACGGUAACAGGCCGCAAGGUGCUGACGAGUGGCGAACGGGUGAGUAAUGCAUCGGAACGUGCCCAGUCGUGGGGGAUAACGCAGCGAAAGCUGCGCUAAUACCGCAUACGAUCUAUGGAUGAAAGCGGGGGACCGUAAGGCCUCGCGCGAUUGGAGCGGCCGAUGUCAGAUUAGGUAGUUGGUGGGGUAAAGGCUCACCAAGCCAACGAUCUGUAGCUGGUCUGAGAGGACGACCAGCCACACUGGGACUGAGACACGGCCCAGACUCCUACGGGAGGCAGCAGUGGGGAAUUUUGGACAAUGGGCGCAAGCCUGAUCCAGCAAUGCCGCGUGCAGGAUGAAGGCCUUCGGGUUGUAAACUGCUUUUGUACGGAACGAAACGGUUCUCUCUAAUACAGGGGGCUAAUGACGGUACCGUAAGAAUAAGCACCGGCUAACUACGUGCCAGCAGCCGCGGUAAGAC
rnacentral:rRNA from 1 species